UAGUUAAUUCAUCCUAGAGCUUGUACCAGCUCUGGUCUAGCCAACAAUCAGCAUGAGGUGCGGAACCUAGACACGCGUGGGAUUGCCAGCCUCACCAGAGAGCUACUGCCGACCACCUGGAACGCAGAGGGCGGAUCUCGUGCACGUGUAGGGAGGAGUCGGAGACAGUACCGGCUCUGGAAAGCUCGUGUAGGAGAAAAAACUAGUGUGGCUAAACAAAAAGUUAUUUUUGAAGGAUAAUAAAAAAUAUUAUGCCAAAAAUAAAUAAGAUAUUAGAAGUGUACUUAUCUUUGGAUGAAAGUCUGGUCGGUGACGA
rnacentral:lncRNA from 1 species